AUGUUCCUAGUUUAUGGAGGUGAGGAAGAGCUCGCCGUAAGGGGUUACGCUGAUGCUAGUUUCCAAACCGAUAGAGAUGAUUGUCGAUCACAGUUCGGAUUCGUGUACGUCAUGAACAGAGGAGCAGUGAGCUGGAUGAGUUCCAAGCAAGAUACGGUGGCCGAUUCUACCACAGAAGACGAAUACAUUGCGGCUUGUGAAGCUGCAAAGGAGGGUGUUUGGAUCCGGCAUUUUCUGGAUGAUCUUGGUAUUUUCCCAGCCUCGGUAAAACCGUUGGACCUUUAUUGUGAUAAUUCUGGUGCCAUCGCACAAGCCAAGGAGCCGAGGAAUCACCACAAGGUCAGACACAUAGACCAGAAAUAUCACCUGAUAUGA
rnacentral:rRNA from 1 species